rnacentral:rRNA from 1 species
UACAGAGGGGGCAAGCGUUGUUCGGAAUUACUGGGCGUAAAGGGCGCGUAGGCGGCCUUCUAAGUCGAACGUGAAAUCCCCGGGCUUAACCUGGGAACUGCAUCCGAUACUGGAUGGCUUGAAUCCGGGAGAGGGAUGCAGAAUUCCAGGUGUAGCGGUGAAAUGCGUAGAUAUCUGGAGGAAUACCGGUGGCGAAGGCGGCAUCCUGGACCGGCAUUGACGCUGAGUGAGCGAAAGCCAGGGGAGCAAACGGG